rnacentral:rRNA from 1 species
GACGAACGCUGGCGGCGUGCCUAAUACAUGCAAGUUGAGCGCUGAAGGUUGGUACUUGUACCAACUGGAUGAGCAGCGCACGGGUGAGUAACGCGUGGGGAAUCUGCCUUUGAGCGGGGGACAACAUUUGGAAACGAAUGCUAAUACCGCAUAAAAACUUUAAACACAAGUUUUAAGUUUGAAAGAUGCAAUUGCAUCACUCAAAGAUGAUCCCGCGUUGUAUUAGCUAGUUGGUGAGGUAAAGGCUCACCAAGGCGAUGAUACAUAGCCAACCUGAGAGGGUGAUCGGCCACAUUGGGACUGAGACACGGCCCAAACCCCUACGGGAGGCAGCAGGAGGGAAUCUUCGGCAAUGGACGAAAGUCUGAACGAGCAACGCCGCGUGAGUGAAGAAGGGUUUCGGAUCGUAAAACUCUGUUGGUAGAGAAGAACGUUGGUGAGAGUGGAAAGCUCAUCAAGUGACGGUAACUACCCAGAAAGGGACGGCUAACUACGUG